GCUGACAAACUUGGAGUGGAAGGCGGAGAUCCAGGAGAGACCCACGGAAGCUGAGGCAGGAAGAUAUGUCGACAUGAAGAGCGUCAUCCCACGGGGCCAAAUGCGGCUGAGAGCCAAGGACGAUGGCCUGAAGUGGGGAGCGGAGAUGCGGUCACCAGAACCUGGAGAGAGUGCCCUGUGUGCUUAGAGCCACCUGAUAAGAGCUCUGACCAUGCGUCAAGGGACACAGCCCUCCUACAGGUAAAUGUGUGGGGAUGCGAUCCUAUACUUGGUAUGUGGCAUUAUUAUAUACACUCAAUAAAUAUUGCUUGAUUGAUGAUUGAAGGGCCCUUUUCUUCCUUGGAGGUCUCAGAACAUCCUGCAAGUGACACGUCCACUUGGUCCUUGGAAGCUGCAGCAGUUACUGUGGCUUACAAAGUUCUUGCUUCCUAUAUGGGAAAGGAAUCUGAAAAAGAAUGGAUAUAUGUAUAUUUAUAACUGAAUCAUUUUGCUGUAUACCUGAAACUAACACAACAUUGUAAAUCCA